rnacentral:rRNA from 1 species
GACGAACGCUGGCGGCGUGCUUAACACAUGCAAGUCGAACGGUGAAGCAGAGCUUGCUCUGUGGAUCCGUGGCGAACGGGUGAGUAACAAGUGAGUAACCUACCCUUGACUCUGGGUUAAGCGUUGUAAACGACGCCUAAUACCGGCUACGAGCUGAGACCGCCUGGACAUCAGUUGGAAAGAUUUUUUUGUUACGGCUAGACUCGAGGCCUAUCAGCUUGUUGGUGAGGGAUUGGCUCACAAAGGCGAAGACUGGUAGCCGGCCUGAGAGGGGGGCCGGGCACACGGGGCCUGAGAGACGGCCCAGACUCCUACGGUAGGCAGCAGUGGGGAAUAUUGCACAAUGGGCGCAAGCCUGAUGCAGCAACGCCGCGUUCGUGAUGACGGCCUUCGGGUUGUAAACCUCUUUGAGUAGGGAAGAAGCGAAAGUGACGGUACCUGCAGAAAAAGCACCGGCUAACUACGUG